AAGUCCAGCUUUGCAAUUAUUUCUCGCAUGGAUCACGCCUUUGGUGUUAUAUCUAAAAAGUCAUCAGCAUACUCAAAGCCAUUUAGAUUUUCUUUCUAGAUUAGAUUUAAUCGAUUUUCUCUAUUUUGUAAUAAUGGCUAUGUUUAACCAUCAGCUCACAAAAUUCCUGAAGAUUUAACAGUCAGCUCUUAUGAGCUGCCAUGAGCCAGCUGCAGCACACCAGCCUUGUGGGAAUAGAGAAAAUUGGACCUAUUAUUUACGAUAAGACUGAGAAUGACAUUACACUGAAAACAUGUAUUGGAAGCAGUACUCAAUAUUCAAGAAAUAUGGUAAAGAAACUAGAGCCUUAUAUCAUGAUUAGCAAACACUCCUGGUCUGGGGGUCAGUGAAUCUUCGUGGGGAUCUGCAGAAGGUGCAGCUGUUGGAAACUCCCCGGCUGCUUCACAGUCGUGAGAAUCACCUGGUGGUCUCGUGAAAAUGUAGAUCCUGACUCCAUAAGACUGGCAUGGCGCUUGAUAGGCUACAUUUUGAACAAAACCCUGGGUGAUGGUGGUACUCUGCUGGCCCAGGACUCGCACUGUGAGUAACAUGGGUUUAACCUGAGCAACAGCCCUAUGAGACGGCUGCUGUUUUUGUCCCUAUUUUGCAUAUAAUAACUAAGGUUGUGAGGGUAAAUAUCUUUCUCAAGGUCACAGAACUUGUAGUGGUAGUACUGGGGCUUGGACCGAUGGUCUCAUUCCAGAGCCUGCCUUCUUAGCAACCACACCCGACUUCAUUCAUGCAUAUGCGACAGUGGCAUCUAUGCCUAUUUGGCUUCUCUUACUAAGGACCAGAAUGUAGAACAAAUGGCAUAUAUUCCCCAAAGUUUUCAAGUCAUGUUCCUACUUAAAGCAAAGAUACCUAGGGAAUGUUCCAUAUGGUUUUAAUUGUACAUCAUAGCCCUGGCACUUUCGGCCAGAAUGACCCAUCCACGCCUGUGGCUUCUCUUGCCCAUAAAAAAAAAAGUCUUAAAUUCCAGCUGGUGUCAAGCCUAAUGCUCAGGUCACUCCAGAGCGAUGACACUGGCUCCCACCCUUUUUAACCCGGACCUUCAUUUGGCUUGAACUUAUUUCGCCAAGUUUUGGAUCCUUGGCUCUCCCUUACUUUUUUUGUCUU